CACACACACACACACACACACACACACACACACACAUCACACACAAAUUGGUUUUACUGGGAAUUAAAUCAACUUUCAGAUAAAUCAUUCUCUUGAUGGCUGCAGACAUGUAAGGCAGUAUUCAGAAACCACCACAGUGAUGGUGUCUUCCUAAUUGACUAGCCACAAAAGUUUUCAAAGCAGCCAACUAUUGGAGGACAUGCAUCAGGGACAAGGAAGGGUUAACAGGGAUGUGAACAAAGGCACAGACACAAGUCCUCUCCCUCAAGAACAUUGUAGGCUUGUGAAAUAAAUCAGAUUGAAAUAAUCUCAUAUGGCCAUUCUGGAGAAGAAAAACAGACACAUAAAAAGGGUUAAACAGCAACCAGUGUGGAAAGAGAGUGGAGGAAAGGAGGGCAGCGGCAUCCUCCCUGUGACCGCGAAGACUGCAACCAUGUGCUUGUGAGCUGAGGUCUUCUCUUAGCACCAGAGGGCUGCUGAUGGAGAGGAAUUUUCCCUUCUGAUGGUAAACUCCAGAUGGUUGGAGAAAGAAGUGAAGAACUGAGAGAUGGAAUGAGAAGCCUUCCCUCCCUCCUCAGGUGUAAGUCCUGUCAGAAACCUCUUCGACACAGGAAGAAUAUUAAAAAGCAUGAUUCCUGUUAAUACUACCUUUUUCGUCCCAGAAUGUGAAUGGCCCUGAUGUUAUAUAAAGUUUUUUAAAAGUUUA